rnacentral:rRNA from 1 species
AGCGUAGACGGCACGGCAAGCCAGAUGUGAAAGCCCGGGGCUCAACCCCGGGACUGCAUUUGGAACUGCUGAGCUAGAGUGUCGGAGAGGCAAGUGGAAUUCCUAGUGUAGCGGUGAAAUGCGUAGAUAUUAGGAGGAACACCAGUGGCGAAGGCGGCUUGCUGGACGAUGACUGACGUUGAGGCUCGAAAGCUGGGAGCAAACA